UACAAAAGAAAGUUCGAGAACAGUUCUCUCUGUGAGUGGGAAGGGUUGUGAAGAAGCGUGGGGUGUGGUGCCCGCAUAGUGUGUUGUGCGGUGAUUAAAAUGAAUAGAAUCAUUGUUAAACUGCCUAGGAUGGACGGGAAAUUAUUGCUACAGAUAAUUCUACAGUAUUAAGCAAAUAUUCGUCAAACAAGCAGAAGUGGCAAUGUUAUUACGAGGGUCAUUGGGAAGUCGUUGUUUGCUGUGAAGGAGGUAGAUAUUACGUUGCAGCAUUACCCACUGUACUGGCCAAAUAUUACGAUGGAAAUUACGACUUGGAAGCCACUGUGUAAAAGCUGCUAGACCAUCCAUCAGCAGUAAAAUCUCGCCAGAGGCUGCAAUACGUUGCUGAACACCACAACAGGACUGAAGUAUUUAUUUCUAUGGUGAAGUUCAGUAUAUUGUAUUUUUCAUAACGACGAAACAUUUGUAAAAGUCAUGAUUCGUCGUCCUCUUGUACAGGAUCAUAAGCUGGUUGUACAUAGGCCUAUAUAAAGUGCUUAAAAUUACUAUUGCCAUAUUAAGCAGAGCACCAGAUUGUGUACAAAGUACCAGCAAUAUUAUUACAUCGACAAAUAUACUAAGAACAGCUGCAGAAGAAGACAACAAGAGACACUGAUGUCACACGCCUGCUCUGUCAGUGAAGUUGAUGUUCCUGAUAGCCAGUGAUGUGACACGUGAAGCCGGUGCUGCUGCCAGUGUAAACUAUGCUUCAUUUGGCCCGAACACUGACACUUCCAAUCCAGCACAGCACAACACCGCCCUGGCCACGGAGAAUGACUGUUACAUCCAGGAAAUAAAUGAGACCCAAAUGACAAAUACGUUGUGUGAAUUCAAUGGCAAUCAUGAGAAGAGUGAUGCAAGUGUUCAGACUUAAGUCUCUAACAGAAUUGUGGCCCUUAGGAAAAAAGUGAAAUGACUGCAGAUGAAACUGAAGUGGCAUGAAGAAAAGGUGGAAACAAUGGCAGAAUUGACCAGUGCUGAAAAAAAGAAGCUAUGUAAAUGACAAUCUGAAAAGUGUUCUUCAGGAACAUUUUAGUUGCUUUCCUUUAGAUUUUAUUGUUACCCAAUUGAAAAACACUGAUGCAACGAAGCAAUUCAGACAAUACAGUGAGCUAACGAAACAAUUUACCCUCACUUUGUAUUUCUAUUUCCCUGUGGCAUAUAGAUUUGUACACUCUUAUGUUUCUUUUGUCCCACCCCCGGUAUUCUUCGAGGUUGGGUGUCAUCAGUAAAUCCCGAAUUUGGCUAGCUACAACAGGUUUUCUACUCUCUAAAACAAUACCAGUGACAAAUGAUAUCUUAAAGAAUGUGCACUUAUUGUUAUAGUAUGUCAAUUAGGAAGCAGUUUGUGUGGAACAACAAUAAAAAGGGCAUGCAUGUUAUGUUGAUUUGGACAACACUGAUUAUAGAUUCAGAAGAGCUAGCUACUGAAGCUUUAGUUUUUCAGAUAGUGUCAUACACUGCAAAGGUUAAGUGUCCAAGUGCACAGUUCUUUGUGAAUAAACUGUCAUCAGAUGUAAUGACUGAAAUUGUGAGAGUUUGUGUACUGAAACUGUUGUCUGUAAGUCUUCUUGCGAUGUGAGUGAUAUGUGAUGGUGUCGCUGUCAACAUUCAGACACUGAAGAAUCUCGAGUGCUCACUGAAUCUGGAAUCUCGAGUGCUCACUGAAUCUAGGAAAAUUUUGCCCCUUACUUCAAGCAUCCUGCGAAUGACAAUGUUCAUGCAAUUCGUGGUCCAUGCCAUUGGUUUGUAAUACUUUAGCUGAAAAGAAAAUUAUUAACUGUGUAGCCAGUGAUAUGAAGUGGGACUUCAUUUCGAAGUUACAUUACCUGAAAGAGUGAAUCUUUAAAAAUUGCCAGUUCACUCUCUGGUUCACAUGUGAAUUUCUAUAACAAGAAAAUAAAUGUCUCUUUAGCAGCCCAAUGA